UCUCAUGGAUGAGCAAAGAAAGUGGUUUCUUGAAAUGGAGUCUACUCUCGGUGAAGAUGCGAUGAGGA
rnacentral:pre_miRNA from 8 species